rnacentral:tRNA from 2 species
CGGGGUGUGGCUCAGCUUGGUAGAGCGCUGCGUUCGGGACGCAGAGGUCGUGGGUUCAAAUCCCGCCACCCCGACCA